rfam:Pseudonocardia sp. EC080619-01, complete genome.
CUUCACGGAGCCGAGCAGCAGCGGCCGGCCGGGGUCGCGGUCGGCGCCGUAGGUGGCGAGCAGGGCCUGCGCCUC